ACACAUGCAGUCGUGCGAAGCUAUUUUGAGGGGCAACCCUUAGAGUAGACUGAGCGGCGGACGAGUGAGUAACACGUGGGUAACCUACCUCCAGGACUGGGAUAACCCCGGGAAACUGGGGCUAAUACUGGAUAAGACCACGGCAUCUAUGGAUGCAGGGGUAAAAGGUGGCCUCUGGUGAUAAGCCAAGCUACCACUUGGAGAUGGGCCCGCGUCCCAUCAGGUAGUUGGUGAGGUAACGGCUCACCAAGCCUAAGACGGGUAGCUGGCCUUAGCGGGUGACCAGCCACACGGGGACUGAGAUACGGCUCCGACUCCUACGGGAGGCAGCAGUGAGGAAUAUUGGGCAAUGGGCGAAAGCUUGACCCAGCGACGCCGCGUGGGGGAAGAAGGCCUUCGGAUUGUAAACCCCUGUUGGGAGGGACGAUGGGUCUGUGGGCUAAUACCUCACAGGCUUGACGGUACCUUCAGAGGAAGCCCCGGCAAACUCCGUGCCAGCAGCCGCGGUAAUACGGAGGGGGCAAGCGUUGCUCGGAUUUACUGGGCGUAAAGGGUCCGUAGGCGGUUUCAUAAGUCGAACGUGAAAGCCUGGGGCUUAACCCUGGAAUUGCGUUUGAAACUGUGGGACUAGAGUCCGGAAGAGGUCGGUGGAAUUCCCGGUGUAGCGGUGAAAUGCGUAGAUAUCGGGAGG
rnacentral:rRNA from 1 species